rnacentral:rRNA from 1 species
AGGACGAACGCUGGCGGCGUGCCUAAUACAUGCAAGUCGAGCGGAACCUUGAGAGCUUGCUCUCGAGUUUUAGCGGCGGACGGGUGAGUAACACGUGGGCAACCUGCCCUGCAGAUCGGGAUAACUCCGGGAAACCGGUGCUAAUACCGAAUAGUUUUCGGCCCCUCCUGGGGCCGUACGGAAAGACGGUUUCGGCUGUCACUGCAGGAUGGGCCCGCGGCGCAUUAGCUAGUUGGUGGGGUAACGGCCCACCAAGGCGACGAUGCGUAGCCGACCUGAGAGGGUGAUCGGCCACACUGGGACUGAGACACGGCCCAGACUCCUACGGGAGGCAGCAGUAGGGAAUCUUCCGCAAUGGACGCAAGUCUGACGGAGCAACGCCGCGUGAGUGACGAAGGUUUUCGGAUCGUAAAACUCUGUUGUGAGGGAAGAACAAGUACCAACUAACUACUGGUACCUUGACGGUACCUCACCAGAAAGCCACGGCUAACUACGUGCCAGCAGCCGCGGUAAUACGUAGGUGGCAAGCGUUGUCCGGAAUUAUUGGGCGUAAAGCGCGCGCAGGCGGUCCCUUAAGUCUGAUGUGAAAGCCCACGGCUCAACCGUGGAGGGUCAUUGGAAACUGGGGGACUUGAGUGCAGA